GACGAAGGAUCCAAGCGUUAUCCGGAUUUAUUGGGUUUAAAGGGUGCGUAGGCGGAUUAAUAAGUCAGUGGCGAAAGCCUGCAGCUUAACUGCGGAACUGCCAUUGAUACUGUCAAUCUUGAAUAUGUUUGAUGUGGGCGGAAUAUGACAUGUAGCGGUGAAAUGCUUAGAUAUGUCAUAGAACACCGAUUGCGAAGGCAGCUCACAAAGCCAUUAUUGACGCUGAGGCACGAAGGCGUGGGGAUCAAACAGG
rnacentral:rRNA from 1 species